GCUAAGGAUGCAGCUGGUUCGGUUGUAUUAACUAAGCGCCAAAGCUUUUUUUAUUAUUAAAGCGUCAAAGCUAAGCGGUGUCAAGACGCGAUGAGCAUGAUUAUGCAGGUUACACGCUGCACUAGCAGACAAGCGGUCAUGAAACAGGUGGGGAGGUGGAGAGAGCUGUCAUGAUAAAGACCCCUGUAGUUUUCUGGUGACCUGUCGGAAGAAAAUGUGGAAUUGUAAAUACUGCAUUUUUAGGUCUGAGAAAACGAGAAAUUCUUAGACAUUAUUGUCUAAAGCAUAGAGGCAAUACAAAGAUUGUCCCUCUUCCCUGUCCACACCAGGACUGUCUUUGCACAUUUCAAUCAAUUAGUAAUUUGCAAGUGCAUCUUUCUAGAAUUGUUAAAACGUAUCUGAAAAUGAGUUUGUGAGCUUACUGUUUUUAAGCUUUGCUUCUGUUAGUGACAAACAUGUCUUUUGUUGUUUCUUACAGUCUGCUUUUAAAUGUCAUAUGGCCAAUGUCACUUUUAAGUGGCUGAUUUCUGAAGAAAUCCUUCAUCAAUUAUUUGAUCUUAAUCAAAGUAUUGAUAUAUACUGUAAGUUUGACACUAAUAAAGCUGUUGAUGUGA